ACCAGCACACACGUUGGAGGUUACAAAACCAGAUUCUCCCAUUUUUAUUGAAUGGAGCGAGAGCCCAUUUCACGAGGGGUUCUGUAGAGAGCCUGAUUCUCCAGCAUGGGUGGCUACAGGCUAGAAAUGAAUAUGGCUUCUUGAGCGAAGGGAAUUUCUUAGGCCGCCACUUGUGUGGGACUACCUCUCAAACCCUCCCUUGAGGCCACAAAAUAAUUUCCACCCCACC
rnacentral:lncRNA from 1 species